UAAGGAAUAUUGGACAAUGGGCGCAAGCCUGAUCCAGCCAUGCCGCGUGAGUGAUGAAGGCCUUAGGGUUGUAAAGCUCUUUUGGCGGGGAAGAUAAUGACUGAACCCGCAGAAUAAGCCCCGGCUAAAUUCGUGCCAGCAGCCGCGGUAAUACGAAUGGGGCAAGCGUUGUUCGGAAUCACUGGGCGUAAAGCGUGCGUAGGCGGUUUAGCAAGUCAGAAGUGAAAUCCCAGAGCUCAACUCUGGAAUUGCUUUUGAAACUGCUAGACUAGAGACUCGGAGAGGUUGGCAGAAUUCCCAGUGUAGAGGUGAAAUUCGCAGAUAUUGGGAGGAAUACCAGUGGCGUAAGCGGCCAACUGGACGAGUACUGACGCUGAGGCACGAAAGCGUGGGGAUCAAA
rnacentral:rRNA from 1 species